rnacentral:tRNA from 1 species
UGGGGAUUGGUCUAGUGGUAGGACAGCGGACUCUGGAUCCGUUGGCCCAGGUUCGAAUCCUGGAUCCCCAG